UACGUAGGGCGCAAGCGUUGUCCGGAAUUAUUGGGCGUAAAGAGCUCGUAGGCGGCUUGUUGCGUCGGUUGUGAAAGCCCGGGGCUUUAACCCCGGGUCUGCAGUCGAUACGGGCAGGCUAGAGUGUGGUAGGGGAGAUCGGAAUUCCUGGUGUAGCGGUGAAAUGCGCAGAUAUCAGGAGGAACACCGGUGGCGAAGGCGGGUCUCUGGGCAGUAACUGACGCUGAGGAGCGAAAGCGUGGGGAGCGAACAGG
rnacentral:rRNA from 1 species